ensembl:lncRNA
UUUUUAAACUUCCUGGAUUGAGUCCAUGCAGCUCAUGAACAAAGUUUUAUAAAAGCAUCUCUGGCACCUCAGAUCUCUGGCAUUUUGGGUCUGUGAGACCAGAUAACCCCUUUAGUCUGUGUAAUCAUAAGAAAGCUUGAAUUCUUCACUAAUAGGACAGAUUUUAAUCAUGCAUAGGUAAAUGUUCUCAUGUUCUAAGUUGACUUCAAUGCAUUUCACUUGGAUGUAUGGGACCACAGAGAUGUAAAGAGCGUGUCUGGGUCAAAUCUAACUCCAAAAUCGAGAAAAACAACAUAAUAGCAUUUUUUUUCCUACUUUUAUGCUAAAUUAAAUACAAAUCGUUGUAUUGCAGUAAAUAUAUUUUUUAUGUCACAGCAAUGUAAAUAACCAUCGGAAAAUUAAUUGGAAUUAUUGGAACUAAAAAUAGCACCUACACAAAAAAAAUAAAUAAAUAAAUAAAAAAUUGGUGUAAAAACAAUUUCCAUUCUUUUCACAAUUAAUUGCAAAGAAACAGCAAGUAACACACCGAACCUCUGAAGUAGAAAGGCUUAAAUAGUAUUUUCUUGCUAAACAUACUCUGGUAAUGGAUGUUUUAUUUCUAUCUUUCAAAAAAACAAACAAAAAAAAACAUUUCCACUGUAUUUCCGUAUUGAUACUUCAACAUUUCACCUUUACUUCAAUGUGUUAUUUUCUAAUUUUUUGAAAAUAUGUGCAAUUUACUUGCAAAAUCUGAGUGGAAAUUAUUUCUACACCAUUUGUUUAGUAUAAAAAUCAAAUAAAAAUUAUUUAUUGCUUCACAAUGAUUUGUAUUUAAAAUUUUACUACUGAUGGUUUAAUGGCUUAGGUUUAAUAGGUUCAAAAUAUAAUUAAUUAUUUUAAUUUCUUUCGUUUUUGGGGUGAAAUUUGACCUGAGCGUGUAUCUUUUUUUUUUUUUUUUGAGACUCGGCCAUAUGAAUUGUAAACAUACACUAUAUUAGAUUCAGUAUGCCAAUAAUGUGUACCAAAAUCAUGUUUUGAUAAGUCAUCAGGCCAAUUUUAUCUCUCGUCAGUAUCCACAACAUGCAGUAUGAGCUUCGUUUGAGAAGGACAGCUACGAGGAGAGUACAAAUGAUCUGUAUGCGUGUGUGUAUGAUUAUGGUUGAUGAUUUUUCUGGUUUAUACUCAAAGCAAUGCAUCAGAUAUGUUUGCCGUUGCCAAUAACCUUUUCACCAGGUGACUGUCUCGUCUUGGCGACUUCGUAGUGAUGGUACUGUUCACAUCCGGUCAAUGCAAAUAUAUGAUAAUACCCACUAAUUGUCUUAACAGUUGCUGUCAGACCUCCCUGAAAGCGUGUAUUAGGCUGGCAUCCUUUACUCGUUACCAAAACGUGACACAAAGCUGGAAUCGACAAGGCGGUCGUGUUGGAAAUGCGCUGUUUUGUGUUUCUUUGCAUGUGAUUGGCCAGAGGUUUCCAGAGGGACUCGACCUGGAAGCACUGAACCGAACAGCACCAUUAGCAAUGAUUAGCAAAAAUGAUGCCAUCGUUUGGGAAGGGAAGCACUUCCCCCCGACGCUCCCGGGCCUUUCCCCCCCUCUCUCUCGCUCUCCCUGUGAUCAUUUUUAUACUGCAGAUAUUUAUUUGGUCACCGUUUAAACUUUGUUGUAUAGUUAAAUGUAAGUAGGAAUCUAUGGGACUAUAACUUAUUGUUUUGUACACAGAUCUGUAAAGAGAGAGUGUAGAUGUAAACACUUCGGAAAGAGGACUUCAGAACUUUGUGUUGUCAUGGAUGUAUCUUCACAUUUGUUUAAAAAAUGAUAAAAAAGGAAAUAAAAGGCAAAGUAUUUUCCUGCAUCCUCUGCUCUUCAUUAAUGAAAUGCUGUUGUCUG